AGAAUUAAACUAAAGAAUAAUAGAAAGAUAGCUGGAAAAAUCCCCAAAUAAUUGGACAGUAAACAACACACUUCUAAAUAGUAUGUGGGUCAAAGAAGUCCCAAGAGAAACUUUAAAAUAUUUUGAGCCAAAUGAAAGUCAAAAUACUACUCAUCAAAAUUUACGUGAUUUGGUAAACAGAGUGCCUAAGGGAAAAUUUAUAGCACUGCAUGCAUAUAUUAGAAAAGAAGAAAUAUCUAAAUCCAAUAAUCUACACUUCCACCUUAAGAAACUAGAGGAAGAAAAGCAAUAAUAUAACCCUAAAGCAAAGAGAAGAAAAGAAAAAAAGAGCAGAAAUGAAUGAAAUUGAAAACAGGAAUUCAAUAGAGAAAAUCAAUGAAACCAAAAGCUGUUUCUUUGAAAAGAUCCAUGAAAUUGGUAAAACUCCAGCCAGGCUGACCCAGAGUUAAAAAGACAUAAAUUUGUAAUAUCAGAAAGGAAAGAGAGGACAUCACUGCUGAUCCAAAGUCAUUAAAAGGAUAAUAAAAAAAUAUUCUGAACAACUCUAUGCCCACAGAUUUGAUAACCUAGAUGAAAUAGACCAAUUCCUUGAAAGACACAGCUACCACAAUCCACACAAGGAGAAAUAUAUAGUCUGAAUAAACCUAUAUUUAUUGAAGAAAUUGAAUUAGUAUUUAAUUACCCUCCAAAACAGAAAGCAUUGAGCCCAGAUGGUUUCACUGGUGAAUUCUAACAUACAUAUAAGGAAGAAAUUACACCAAUUCUUUACACUCUCUUUCAGCCAAUAGAAGCAGAGGGAUUACUUUCUAACUCAUUUUAUGAUGACAGCAUUGCCCUUAUACCAAAACCAGAUAAAAAUAUUACAAGAAGGGAAAACAGCAGACCAAUAUCUCUAAUGAACAUAGAUGCAAAAAUCCUAAGAUAAUGUUAGUAAAUUGACAUCAACAUGUAUAAAACAAAUAAUACACCAGGAUCAAGUGGGAUUUAUUCCAGAUAUGCAAGGCUUGUUCAAUAUUCAAAAAUCAAUUAAUAGGGGCCGGCCCAGUGGUGCAGCCGUUAAGUUCGCACCUUCUGCUUCUCAGCGGCCUGGGGGUUGCUGGUUCGGAUCCCGGGUAUGGACAUGGCACCACUUGGCAAAAGCCAUGCUGUGGUGGGCGUCCCAUCUGUAUAAACUAGAGGAAGAUGGGCACGGAUGUUAGCUCAGAGCCAGGCUUCCUCAGCA
rnacentral:lncRNA from 1 species